GGAAGAAUGCAGCAGUAUCAGCGCACUCCAUCCCGGGGAUCUGAAUGCAUUUGCGGAGAGAACAGGGAAAUAAGAGUUCCAACCAGGUGGACUCUCAAUGUCUUGCAAGCGACACCUAGAAGCAGGUACAGGCAGGAGGUACAGCACCCUGCAACCUCCAGGGGCCUUUGUGCAAAUGUUCAUGUCCUAGAAGCACGUGGCGGAGCACGUCCUGGGAUCAAGGUGCCAUGGACUGGAAAAUGCAGCUCUGGACAUACAGGCUUGGCGGAGUUCCUGUGUGAAGACAAAACUCCCAGUACUCCAGAAACGUGGAGGCAGAAGAGCAGUGACAAGAUGGCAGCAGAGGGGCAAAAAGAAUGGCAUCUGACAUGGAAGUGCACAUGAAGAAGAGAUGUGGCACAGAAUUCCUCCAUGCAGAAAAAAAUGGCACCUACUGCCAUCUGUUUUUCCUGGCCAGCUGAAAACACUGUGUCCCUGAUCCACUUAACAGAGAGAAGAGCUCUCUCUUCAUGUGAAAGACAUGAAGUUACAGUUCAAGUACCUUAAAAAAAUGCAAACAGCGGGAAGCAAACAGCUUUAUCCAUAGCCACAAAAGCUGCUCCAAACGCUUCUGACUUCACAAGGUGACAGCAGUGACACAUCUCCACAUCUCUGGAUAGAAGUUGGAAGGAACGUUCUAGAAGUGGCAAUCCUUUGUCCACGCAAGUUAAAGCUACUGCAAUAGUUGCAACUGGAAGUUACUAUCUUUGUUACACUUAAGUCCUUAUUAGCAAACAGAUUUACCCACUCAUAUACAGCACAGAAAGUACUGUAAGUUCCCAUCUGGCUGCUACUACCAGAGGAAAUAACUCGUUUCUGUGACAAUCCACAGGGUUUAAAUGGCAAUGGAUUAGGUGAAUUUCACAGAUACCUGUGUUUCCCUGCUGUCAGCUCUCCAGCACCGUAACCCCCUCCAUACACAGAACCAUAUUCACAUUUACCACAUGACAUGAGAGGAAUCAACUCUGCCAUUA
ensembl:lncRNA